UGGGGAAUAUUGCACAAUGGAGGGAACUCUGAUGCAGCGACGCCGCGUGAGUGAAGAAGUAUUUCGGUAUGUAAAGCUCUAUCAGCAGGGAAGAAAGAAAUGACGGUACCUGACUAAGAAGCCCCGGCUAACUACGUGCCAGCAGCCGCGGUAAUACGUAGGGGGCAAGCGUUAUCCGGAUUUACUGGGUGUAAAGGGAGCGUAGACGGCGAUGCAAGUCAGAUGUGAAAACCCAUGGCUUAACCAUGGGAUUGCAUUUGAAACUGUGUUGCUAGAGUGCAGGAGAGGUAAGCGGAAUUCCUGGUGUAGCGGUGAAAUGCGUAGAUAUCAGGAGGAACACCAGUGGCGAAGGCGGCUUACUAGACUGUAACUGACGUUGAGGCUCGAAGGCGUGGGUAGC
rnacentral:rRNA from 1 species